rnacentral:rRNA from 1 species
AUUGAACGCUGGCGGCAGGCCUAACACAUGCAAGUCGAACGGCAGCACAGAAGAGCUUGCUCUUUGGGUGGCGAGUGGCGGACGGGUGAGUAAUGUCUGGGAAACUGCCCGAUGGAGGGGGAUAACUACUGGAAACGGUAGCUAAUACCGCAUAACGUCGCAAGACCAAAGUGGGGGACCUUCGGGCCUCACACCAUCGGAUGUGCCCAGAUGGGAUUAGCUAGUAGGUGGGGUAAUGGCUCACCUAGGCGACGAACCCUAGCUGGUCUGAGAGGAUGACCAGCCACACUGGAACGGAGACACGGUCCAGACUCCUACGGGAGGCAGCAGUGGGGAAUAUUGCACAAUGGGCGCAAGCCUGAUGCAGCCAGGCCGCGUGUAUGAAGAAGGCCUUCGGGUUGUAAAGUACUUUCAGCGGGGAGGAAGGCGGUGAGGUUAAUAACCUCGCCGAUUGACGUUACCCGCAGAAGAAGCACCGGCUAACUCCGUGCCAGCAGCCGCCGUAA